rnacentral:rRNA from 1 species
GACGAACCGUGCAACCGUUGUUCGGAAUCACUGGGCUUAAAGGGCGCGUAGGCGGGCUUCCAAGUCGGUGGUGAAAUCUUUCGGCUCAACCGGAAAACAGCCGCCGAUACUGGGAGUCUCGAGGGAGGUAGGGGUCGAUGGAACUUCAGGUGGAGCGGUGAAAUGCGUAGAUAUCUGAAGGAACGCCGGUGGCGAAAGCGAUCGACUGGACCUCUUCUGACGCUGAGGCGCGAAAGCCAGGGGAGCAAACGGG